rnacentral:rRNA from 1 species
UCAGAACGAACGCUGGCGGCAGGCUUAACACAUGCAAGUCGAGCGCCCCGCAAGGGGAGCGGCAGACGGGUGAGUAACGCGUGGGAAUCUACCCAGCUCUACGGAAUAACUCAGGGAAACUUGUGCUAAUACCGUAUACGUCCGAUAGGAGAAAGAUUUAUCGGAGUUGGAUGAGCCCGCGUUGGAUUAGCUAGUUGGUGAGGUAAUGGCUCACCAAGGCGACGAUCCAUAGCUGGUCUGAGAGGAUGAUCAGCCACACUGGGACUGAGACACGGCCCAGACUCCUACGGGAGGCAGCAGUGGGGAAUAUUGGACAAUGGGCGCAAGCCUGAUCCAGCCAUGCCGCGUGAGUGAUGAAGGCCCUAGGGUUGUAAAGCUCUUUCAACGGUGAAGAUAAUGACGGUAACCGUAGAAGAAGCCCCGGCUAACUUCGUGCCAGCAGCCGCGGUAAUACGAAGGGGGCUAGCGUUGUUCGGAAUUACUGGGCGUAAAGCGCACGUAGGCGGAUUGUUAAGUGAGGGGUGAAAUCCCAGGGCUCAACCCUGGAACUGCCUCUCAUACUGGCAAUCUCGAGUUCGAGAGAGGUGAGUGGAAUUCCGAGUGUAGAGGUGAAAUUCGUAGAUAUUCGGAGGAACACCAGUGGCGAAGGCGGCUCACUGGCUCGAUACUGAC